rnacentral:rRNA from 1 species
CAUGCAGCGAGCGGAUGAGAGGAGCUUGCUCUGGAUUCAGCGGCGGACNNGUGAGUAAUGCCUAGGAAUCUGCCUGGUAGUGGGGGNNACGUUUCGAAAGGAACGCUAAUACCGCAUACGUCCUACGGGAGAAAGCAGGGGACCUUCGGGCCUUGCGCUAUCAGAUGAGCCUAGGUCGGAUUAGCUAGUUGGUGAGGUAAUGGCUCACCAAGGCGACGAUCCGUAACUGGUCUGAGAGGAUGAUCAGUCACACUGGAACUGAGACACGGUCCAGACUCCUACGGGAGGCAGCAGUGGGGAAUAUUGGACAAUGGGCGAAANNUGAUCCAGCCAUGCCGCGUGUGUGAAGAAGGUCUUCGGAUUGUAAAGCACUUUAAGUUGGGAGGAAG